UACGGAGGGUGCAAGCGUUAAUCGGAAUUACUGGGCGUAAAGCGUGCGUAGGUGGUUCGUUAAGUCCGUUGUGAAAGCCCCGAGCUCAACUUGGGAAUUGCAGUGGAUACUGGCGAGCUGGAGUGCGGUAGAGGAAGGUGGAAUUCCCGGUGUAGCGGUGAAAUGCGUAGAGAUCGGGAGGAACACCAGUGGCGAAGGCGGCCUUCUGGACAGUGACUGACGCUGAGACGCGAAAAGCGUGGGGAGCAAACAGGG
rnacentral:rRNA from 1 species